CAGCAGCCACGGUAAUACCGAGGGUGCAAGCGUUAAUCGGAAUUACUGGGCGUAAAGCGCGCGUAGGUGGUUUGUUAAGUUGGAUGUGAAAUCCCCGGGCUCAACCUGGGAACUGCAUCCAAAACUGGCAGGCUAGAGUAGGGCAGAGGGUGGUGGAAUUUCCUGUGUAGCGGUGAAAUGCGUAGAUAUAGGAAGGAACACCAGUGGCGAAGGCGACCACCUGGGCUCAUACUGACACUGAGGUGCGAAAGCGUGGGGAGCAAACAGGAUUAGAUACCCCCGUAGUCCCUGUCUCUUAUAC
rnacentral:rRNA from 1 species